GGCGUAAAGCGCAUGCAGGUGGAAGGAGCAGUCUGAUGUGAAAGCCCGGGGCUUAACCCCGGAAGAGCAUUGGAAACCAUCCUUCUUGAGUGCUGUAGAGGGGGGUAGAAUUUC
rnacentral:rRNA from 1 species